rnacentral:rRNA from 1 species
AUUGAACGCUGGCGGCAGGCCUAACACAUGCAAGUCGAGCGGAUGACGGGAGCUUGCUCCUUGAUUCAGCGGCGGACGGGUGAGUAAUGCCUAGGAAUCUGCCAGGUAGUGGGGGACAACGUUUCGAAAGGAACGCUAAUACCGCAUACGUCCUACGGGAGAAAGCAGGGGACCUUCGGGCCUUGCGCUAUCAGAUGAGCCUAGGUCGGAUUAGCUUGUUGGUGAGGUAAUGGCUUACCAAGGCGACGAUCCGUAACUGGUCUGAGAGGAUGAUCAGUCACACUGGAACUGAGACACGGUCCAGACUCCUACGGGAGGCAGCAGUGGGGAAUAUUGGACAAUGGGCGAAAGCCUGAUCCAGCCAUGCCGCGUGUGUGAAGAAGGUCUUCGGAUUGUAAAGCACUUUAAGUUGGGAGGAAGGGUUGUAGAUUAAUACUCUGCAAUUUUGACGUUACCGACAGAAUAAGCACCGGCUAACUCUGUGCCAGCCGCCGCCGUAAUAC